rnacentral:rRNA from 1 species
CCUACGGGCGGCUGCAGUGGGGAAUAUUGGACAAUGGGGGGAACCCUGAUCCAGCCAUGCCGCGUGUGUGAAGAAGGCCCUCGGGUUGUAAAGCACUUUCAGUGAGGAAGAACGCCUGGUGGUUAAUACCCAUCAGGAAAGACAUCACCCACAGAAGAAGCACCGGCUAACUCCGUGCCAGCAGCCGCGGUAAUACGGAGGGUGCGAGCGUUAAUCGGAAUUACUGGGCGUAAAGCGCGCGUAGGUGGCUUGAUAAGCCGGUUGUGAAAGCCCCGGGCUCAACCUGGGAACGGCAUCCGGAACUGUCAAGCUAGAGUGCAGGAGAGGAAGGUAGAAUUCCCGGUGUAGCGGUGAAAUGCGUAGAGAUCGGGAGGAAUACCAGUGGCGAAGGCGGCCUUCUGGACUGACACUGACACUGAGGUGCGAAAGCGUGGGUAGCAAACAGGAUUAGAUACCCCAGUAGUC